rnacentral:rRNA from 1 species
CUAAGUUACUAAGGGCAUACGGCGGAUGCCUUGGCAUUGAGAGGCGAUGAAGGACGCAGUUACCGGCGAUACGCCACGGUGAGGUGGAAGCAACCUAAUACCCGUGGAUUUCCGAAUGGGGCAACCCUCUUAGAGUAAUGUCUAAGAAUCUAUAUCUGAAUACAUAGGAUAUAAGAAGCAAACCCAGGGAACUGAAACAUCUAAGUACCUGGUGGAAUAUAAAAUAAUAAUGAUUUCCUAAGUAGUGGCGAGCGAACGGGAAGUAGUCUAAACCGAUCAACAUGUUAAAGAAUGCAAUCGUUGUGUUGACGGUGUUGUGGGGUGUUUUCAGACUGAAUUGCAAAUAAGUCGAGAUUAAUUUUAUCAUUAGCUGAAUGAUCUGGAAAGUUCAACCAUAGGGGGUGAUAGUCCUGUAAGCGAAAAUGAUAUAAUAUCUUGGAAGACAAACCCAAGUAGCACGAAAUAAGUGGAAGUUUGUGUGAAUCUGGCAGAACCAUCUGCUAAGACUAAAUACUCCUCAAUGACCGAUAGCGCAUAGUACCGUGAGGGAAAGGUGAAAAGUACUCCUAACAGGAGAGUGAAAUAGUACCUGAAACCGUAUGCUUACAAGCAGUUGGAGUCCUUUCGGGGAUGACAGCGUGCCUUCUGGAUAAUGAGCCUACGAGUUAGUCGUCAGUUGCGUGGUUAACCAUCUAAGAUGGGAAGCCGUAGCGAAAGCGAGUCUGAAUAGGGCGUUAAGUAGCUGGCGCUAGACGCGAAACCAGGUGAUCUACCCUUGUCCAGGAUGAAGUGAGGGUAAAACCUCAUGGAGGUCCGAACUAGUGUGGGUUGAAAACCGCUUGGAUGAGGUAAGGGUAGGAGCGAAAGACCAAUCAAACUUGGAGAUAGCUCGUACUCCUCGAAAUAGCUUUAGGGCUAGCCUCGAGUAAAAGUUUGCCGGAGGUAGAGCACUGAUUGGGCUAGGGCUGUCACAACGGUACCAAACCCAGACAAACUCCGAAUUCCGGACAAAUGUUUCUCGGGAGUCAGGCAGUGGGGGAUAAGCUUCAUUGCCAAAAGGGAAAGAACCCAAACCAUCAGCUAAGGUCCCAAAAUAAUAGUUAACAGAGAAAGGAUGUUAAGUUGCUUAGACAACUAGGAUGUUGGCUUAGAAGCAGCCAUUCAUUUAAAGAGUGCGUAAUAGCUCACUAGUCAAGCGACUUAGCGUCGACAAUACCCGGGACUUAAACUAUUUACCGAAGCUAUGGGAUUCGUAAGAAUCGGUAGAGGAGCAUUCUAUUUGCAGCGAAGGUGUGUUGCGAGACAUGCUGGAGCGAAUAGAAAAGCAAAUGUAGGCAUAAGUAACGAUAAAAAUGAUGAAAAAUCAUUUCGCCGAAAAUCUAAGGUUUCCUGAGCAAUGUUAGUCAUCUCAGGGUUAGUCAGGUCCUAAGCCGAGGCUGAAAGGCGUAGGUGAUGGGAAACAGGUCAAUAUUCCUGUACCUGGUAAAAGUCGUUCGACCGUAAGGAGGGACGCAGAAGUGAAGAUCAGCCACCUGUCGGAUUAGGUGGUCUAAGUGUGUAGAGGGAGAGAGUAGGCAAAUCCGCUUUCUCAUUAACCUUAAGGCACGAACGGGAUGGCAUAGCCAACAAACUGAUCGUAAUCAUGCUGCCGAGAAAAGCUUCGUACGGGAGAUUUUUAUCAGUCUGUACCGCAAACCGACACAGGUAGAUGGGAUGAAUAUUCUAAGGCGCUCGAGUGAGCCGUGGUUAAGGAACUCGGCAAAUUAACCCCGUAAGUUAGCGAGAAGGGGUGCCUCAAGUAUGUGAAAUUUUUACUAAUCUAGCAGAAAGAGGCCGCAGAGAAAUGGCCCAAGCGACUGUUUAACAAAAACACAUGUCUAUGCGAAGUCAAUCAAGACGAAGUAUAUGGACUGACACCUGCCCGGUGCUGGAAGGUUAAGGGGAGUGGUUAGCUGCAAAGCGAAGCUAUAAACCGAAGCCCCAGUAAACGGCGGCCGUAACUAUAACGGUCCUAAGGUAGCGAAAUUCCUUGUCGGGUAAGUUCCGACCUGCACGAAUGGUGUAACGAUUUGGGCACUGUCUCGACCACGGGCUCGGUGAAAUUGUGGUACCGGUGAAGACGCCGGUUACCCGCAUAUGGACGGAAAGACCCCGUGCACCUUUACUGCACCCUAACAUUGGGUUCGGAUAAAGCAUGUGUAGGAUAGGUGGGAGACUUUGAAGCCGGGGCGCUAGCUUCGGUGGAGUCAACCUUGAAAUACCACCCUUGUUUUAUUUGGAUUCUAACCUCGGCCCUUGAAUCAGGGUC